rnacentral:rRNA from 1 species
UCCAGACUCCUACGGGAGGCAGCAGUGGGGAAUAUUGCACAAUGGGGGGAACCCUGAUGCAGCGAUGCCGCGUGGAGGAAGAAGGUUUUCGGAUUGUAAACUCCUUUUAUCAGGGACGAUAAUGACGGUACCUGAAGAAAAAGCUCCGGCUAACUACGUGCCAGCAGCCGCGGUAAUACGUAGGGAGCGAGCGUUAUCCGGAUUUAUUGGGUUUAAAGGGUGCGUAGGCGGACGCUUAAGUCAGCGGUAAAAUUGCGGGGCUCAACCUCGUCGAGCCGUUGAAACUGGGUGCCUUGAGUGGGCGAGAAGUACGCGGAAUGCGUGGUGUAGCGGUGAAAUGCAUAGAUAUCACGCAGAACUCCGAUUGCGAAGGCAGCGUACCGGCGCCCAACUGACGCUGAAGCACGAAGGCGUGGGUAUCGAACAGGAUUAGAUACCCGAGUAUG